AAAAAAAAAAAAGAUUUGCCUUCUCAAGCGCUUGUUUUUAGACCUGCAAAGGCAGAAUGAGUAAUACCAACAAGUCAAGAAGGAAAAGCCCCACCCAGGUUUGGAAUUAGAACCGGCUUCUAAUUGCAGCUUGGCUUGAAUCAAGGCCAGAGGUCACUCCUCCCCUACCCCCAGCUCCGGACUUCUUUAACCACCUGAUCUAUAAAUGAGUAGAUUUGAUUUCAGCAGCGGUGUGGAGCCCUGCUGACAACCUCAGCUUCAGUGGAGACUGGUUCAGAGCUUCAGGAGCAGGCGACAGAGUGGUCUGUUCUUGAGAUUUGCUGUAGUUGGUGUAAGUGCUCUAGGUAACCACUGGCCCUCUCCUUCCAACCAGCCCUCCAUGGAAGUGUGGUGGUUUAAAUGAGAAAGGCUCCCAUAGGCUCACUCAUUUGAGUUGUUCUGUGGUUGAUAGAGCGGUUAGGGGAGGACUAGGAGGUGUGGCCUUGUUGGAGGAGGUGUGUCACUAUGGGCUGGACUUGGAGGUUUUAUUUGUUUGUUUGUUUUGUUUGUUAUUUUGAGACAGGGUUCCUCUGUGUAGUCCCGACCAUCCUGAAAUUCACUUGGUGGAGCAGGCUGUGCUGGCCUCAGAUUCAGAGAUCUGCCUCCCUCCUGAGUGCUGGAAUUAAAGGCCUGUACCUCCAGCACCUGACGCGGUCCCAGUUAGCUCUCUCCGCCUCAUGCUUGUUAAUCAAGGUGUGUGUUCUCAGCUACUGCUCCAGCGCCACGCCUGCCUGCGGCUAGACUCUUCACCAUGAUGGCCGUGGACUCUAGCCCUCUGGAACCACAAGCCCCAACUUAAAUGUGUUCUUUUAUAGGUUGCCUUGAUCAUGGGGUUUUGUCAAUACAAUAGAAGGACGUUAAACCUCACCCUCCAUUGUCUGACAGCAAAGCAGUAGCGUCAUGGCUCCUAAGUUCUUCUCCACCAUCCAGGAGACUAUCUGUUCAUUCUGUCCAUCUUUAGCAACCUCAGCUGACACAAUGCCACCUCUGCUUGAAUUGUUCUCUUCUCAUUUCCUGACCUUUGACCGUCACCAAAUUUCAUUAUCCCCGGCUCUGUUCACGUUCUGCUCUCAACAUCUAUUUGUCCACAGAUCCUACUGCAUCUUUGGCCAUGUCACCACCUCCAUUAUUAUCUGAUUGACCCCCAUGUUCACACCUGAGGUCCUGGAGAGCUGCACGAGCUCCCUUCCUCCAUUUCUCUAUAACUGCUACCCACUAGCUACAAUCUCCUGGCAGUGGGGUUGCUUAGGGUGACCCACAGAUUAAGGAAUACCACUUGGCAAGACCCCGAGUUUAAGCCUUGCUUUCCGCUGGAGGAGCAACUGUGCUUGCUGCUAUUUGGAGCAGAGGUGGAGGUAGCUGAGCAGCAAAUGAGGAAAUGGGCAAAGUCUGCCAAGGAUCCAGAGGCAUGAAGCCAAGAGGAGCGUGAUGAUGGUAACGUUUCCAGCAUCUCCCAGGGCUGUGGGUCCAUGUAAAGAAUGUCUUUGCACUGCAUGCCAGCCCUCUGGGCACCAGUCCUGUUCGGUGACUUCCCAGACGGUUCUAAUGUAAAGCCUGGGCUGAAAGACGUCGGCAAAACAUAGUGGCUAGGCAUUGAGAAUGCAGCUACGAACAAGAAAAACUCUAUGCUCAUGCACAGGAGAAUGAUUUAAGUGGAUUCGACCGUUUCAUGUGUGACAGAGGCAGAAGCAGGAACCACCCUUCCUCCACUGCCUCUGAUUCCAGCCCUAGCCAUGGGGGACAAACCUGCACGAUCCCAGACCCAUAUCUUGUUGGCAGUAUCUCCCUUGAAACGUACACACUCCAGGUCUGUGUGAUCACACUUUGCCCGUGGCCUGCACUGUGGGACCUAACCAAACACAGCCGGAUCUCCGAGCAUUGUGAGACUUCAACCUGAGGCAUUCUUAGAAAGCUCUUAGGUAACGAUGCCGAAACCGACUCAAGCAGAAGGAGGUGGAGGAUGGGUGUACACGGGUCCAGAUGUGAGCAGAGACUCUGAAUCCAUCCCGGACAUGUUUUU